CGCACAUUGCGCCUAUUGGUAUUCCAAUAGGCAUGCCUGUUCGAGCGUCAUUUAAACCUUCAAGCUUUGCUUGGUGUUGGGUACUGUCCGCGGUUUUUCUCUGCGGACUGGCCUUGAAUGAAUUGGCAGCCAGCAUUUGGUGUGUUGGAGCGCAGCACAUUUUGCGUUCUCGGCCAUACUAGCGGGCGUCCAGGAAGCUGAUUUUAACGUUUGACCUCGGAUCAGGUAGGGAUACCCGCUGAACUUAA
rnacentral:misc_RNA from 1 species